GCGAAGGUGGCGGAAUUGGUAGACGCGCUAGCUUUCAGGUGUUAGUGUCCUUACGGACGUGGGGGUUCAAGUCCCCCCCCUCGCACCA
rnacentral:tRNA from 2 species